GGGGGAAAAUUAAUAAAAUAAAAUUAAUAAAAAAAUUUUUAAUAUUGGGGGGUAUUAAAGUAUUUUUUAAAGAAAAAAUAAAAAAAUUUAUAGUGAAUUAAUAUUGUAAAAUAAAUUCGAAAUAGUAUUGAAAAUUAAUUAAAAAAAAAGUAAAUUUAGUUUAUUGUAUCUUGUGUAUCAGAGUUUAUUUAAAAAUAUUUAAUAAAUAAUAAAAUCUCGAAUUUAAAAGAGUUAAUUAAUUAUAAAAGUUAAUGUUGAAUAAUUAUUUUAAAUAAUUAAUUAGAAAUGAAAUGUUAAUCGUUUUUAAAUAUAUCUAGUUUUUUUAGAAAAAAAUUUAAUUUUAAAUUUGAAAAAUUUUAUAUUUAAUUAAUUAAAUAUAAGAUUUCAAAAUUAAAUAUUUUAAGGGAUAAGCUUUAAUUUAAAUAUUUAUAAUAAAAAUAAUUAUUAAUGAAAAUUUUAAAAUUUAUAUUGUUUAAAAAUUAUAAUUUAUUAAAAAAAAUUUUAUAAUAAAUAAAAUUUAACUAAUAUAUUUAAUUUUUUAUAAAAAAUUAUUUUUUAAUUAUUAAAGAAUAGAAAUAAUGAUAAAAUUAGUAUAUUAUUAUUAAAAAAAUAUAAAUAUAAAUUAAAAUUAAUUUAAAGGAAUUCGGCAAAAAUUUAUAUUCACUUGUUUAUCAAAAACAUGUCUUUUAGAAAAUAAUUUAAAGUCUAAUCUGCCCACUGAUUAAUAAAAAUUAAAGGGCUGCAGUAUAUUGACUGUACAAAGGUAGCAUAAUCAUUAGUCUUUUAAUUGGAGACUUGUAUGAAAGAUUUGAUGAAAUAUAAACUGUCUCUAAAUUAUUAAUAAAAAUUAAUUUUUUAGUUAAAAAGCUAAAAUUUACUUAAAAGACGAGAAGACCCUAUAGAGUUUUAUAAUAAUAAUAAUUAAAAUUAAAUAUAUAAAUAUAAAUUAAAAUUAUUAUUAUUAUUUUGUUGGGGUGAUAAAAAAAUUAAAAAAACUUUUUUUUUUAUAUAUUUCAUAAAUAAGUGAAUUAAUGAUCCAUUUAUAAUGAUUAAAAGAAAAAUUACCUUAGGGAUAACAGCGUAAUUUUUUUUUUUAGUGCAGAUAAAAAAAAAAGAUUGCGACCUCGAUGUUGGAUUAAGAUAAAAAUUAAAUGCAAAAGUUUAAAAUUUUGAUCUGUUCGAUCAUUAAAAUCUUACAUGAUCUGAGUUCAAACCGGUGUGAGCCAGGUUGGUUUCUAUCUUUAGAAAAUUAAAAUAUUUUA
rnacentral:rRNA from 1 species